AUGAACGCUGGCGGCGUGCCUCAUACAUGCCAGUCGCGCGAACAGACGAGGAGCUUGCUCCUCUGACGUUAGCGGCGGACGGGUGAGUAACACGUGGAUAACCUACCUAUAAGACUGGGAUAACUUCGGGAAACCGGAGCUAAUACCGGAUAAUAUAUUGAACCGCAUGGUUCAAUAGUGAAAGACGGUUUUGCUGUCACUUAUAGAUGGAUCCGCGCCGCAUUAGCUAGUUGGUAAGGUAACGGCUUACCAAGGCGACGAUGCGUAGCCGACCUGAGAGGGUGAUCGGCCACACUGGAACUGAGACACGGUCCAGACUCCUACGGGAGGCAGCAGUAGGGAAUCUUCCGCAAUGGGCGAAAGCCUGACGGAGCAACGCCGCGUGAGUGAUGAAGGUCUUCGGAUCGUAAAACUCUGUUAUUAGGAAGAACAAAUGUGUAAGUAACUAUGCACGUCUUGACGGUACCUAAUCAGAAAGCCACGGCUAACUACGUG
rnacentral:rRNA from 1 species